UGGCCACCCGGUGAAGUAUGGUGGCGGUAUUCGUAUAGCUGCGGCCGUGACUAACACGUGUGAGUGUUUGCCUGGGUUUGUUAUGGGGUCCGGGGUUCCCGUGGCGACGGUGCAGCUGUUGCAGGGACUCAAGUAGGAAGUGUUCGGUGACUAACUAGCUCCUUUAUUGCAGCUGUAAAGGUUCCCUGGCUGGCGUCUUCUGAGGGAUGGGGGCUGGAGCUGUGGUCGGCUGUGUUUUUCCCCAAAGGAAUGUCCAGGGAAAAGCACCCUCUCCCCCCCCCCUUCUCCCCACUCCUCAGAAGACUCGCUGGACGGCGACGAGAAGUGGGUCCCGACCCAGGAGGAUAUGGCUGACCAGCCAUGGUCAUCCAGCGAGCAGCCGAGGUCACCAAGGGACCAAGGCCGUAGGAGGAAAAAGAAAAGGCAAAGACAGCCAACAAGCCAGCCAGAGGAUCAGUCAGACGGGGAAGCCUCUGGAGAAGAAACAGGGCAGAAGAUUCCGUGUGGACCCCGGUACACGAGGUGGAAAACUGUGUCCUAGUGGAUGGCGUCGACCGGUCCUACGACGUUCUGUAUGGACCAAAGGCAUAGACAACAGCAGCGUAGGCAAAGAGGAAGAUCUGGGAGGCCAUCGUGGAUCAAGUCACUGCAGUAUCUGGAAACCGUCGGGACACCAGAAACUGCAUGAAGCGGUAUAGUGAGUAGUGACUGCCGUAGACAGACCAAGAAAAAGAUGGGGAUUCAGCGCUGACACGAGACAACAACCGGAGGUGGUCCGGCUUUGAAUUUCAAGUGGCUGCCCUGGGAGGAAGUCAUCAAAAGGCGCAUGAACCCUGUCAUGGUCCAAGGAGUUCCAGGCAGUGUGGACUCCACCCACCCUGCUGGCUUUCCUGAGGAAGAACCGCCCUGAAGACGGAUGACGGCGGGAGCCCAGCAGUCCAAAAGGAGGUGUGAUGACACGCCUGCCCAGAGGACGUCACCUGCGCGCAGGACAUCACCAGCGCGCAGACCAUCACCUUUGCGCCGGACAUCACCAGUGCGCCGGACAUCACCAGCAAGCCAGACAUCACCAGCGCGCAGACCAUCACCUGCGUGCUGGACAUCACCCGCUCGCAGACCAUCACCAGCGCACAGACCAUCACCUGCACGCCGGACAUCAACAGCGCGCAGACCAUCACCUGUGCGCCAAACAUCAUCAGUACGCAGAUCUUAACCUGCGCGCAGGGCAUCACCAGCUCGGAACCAAUCCUCCAGGAGCUCAGAGACUGUGACACAAGAACCUCAAGAAAGUGUGACUCUUUAUACUGUGGAACCAUCACCCGACCUGUUUGAGUCCUCGGGAUUCAUGGAUGAGACUUUUCAAGGGUUUGAUGCCAGCCGUGCCAACGCGUCAAUCCCAAGCCAAGAAAUGUCUCAAGAUUUGAGGUCCGGAGAAGCUCCUGGAGCAUUGGCACCAUAGGAUGCAGAAUGAUAAUAUAUGACCAGGCAUGAAGAACACAGGGCGAUUCUGGACGUCCUCCACAUUCUGGUGACAUCCAUCAACAAGCUGGUGGAGAACACGGUAUGUGAGUCACAAAGCUUCCAGAACAUGUCGGAGAGCCAGCGACAGACAGCUUCCAACUCACAGCUCAUCGCAACGGUUCUCCAGUUGAUCUAUGAAAAACUCCCAGGGACAAGUCAACAACAUGUCAUUCAACCACCACCUCCACCACCACCAGCUACACUGACGCCUCCUGCCCUUGCUCCACCACAUCCCUGGUACAGUCACAGCAGUAGCAAGGGUAUGCAGGGAUGUACCCCGUCUACCAGAUGCCUCCACCACCAAUACAGACACCGGCCUCAACAGCUACACCAGCACGCCCAUCAAGGCCUACACAAUGCACUCUACAGCCACCAAGGACACCGUCGCCCCCUCCAGAGGAAGAGGAUCAUGACAGCCCCCACACACAAUAGCGCGGUCAUAUUUUUUCAUUAUUUAAAAUUUUAUUUUUCUGUGCUUCCCUUUUUCUCCCUCCUAUUAGUUUGUUUUUGUCUUUGUAUUGUUUUUAUUUAUUGUAUUCGCCCCCCACCUGAGCGGGUACUACCAAGGAGCUAUAUGUAGCCAUACAUGCGCGGUCAUGUAUGAAUGUGGUAAAGGAUGAAAGCUCCUUGUGGUUACAUAUAUGAUGGGCCAAAGAGCAUAUCUAAUACCACAUUUAUUUUUUAAGAAAUACUCCUCUGUAAAAAAAGUUGUGUAACUUGAGCAUUCUCUUUUGUGUAACUUGAGCAUUCACAUAUUUUUUUUAAUUCUUCAGGGAUGCUCGACAAAGAGGCAUGGACAGUGCUGUUCUAGGUGACUUUACAAUGAUAUCUACACAAGAACAAGGAAUGUAUGAAUAUCACUUUUUUUUUUUUUACAAAAAUUUAUUUUUUAUGAACAAAAAAAAAUCCGACUUUGAUUUUCUUCAAAAACAUUUUAAAUUGAGAUUUUUGUGUUUUCUUUAAAAUAUAGUAAAUGUAAUUUAGAAGUGGGCAUUUAAGGGGCGUGGGGGUAUUGAAGGUCUUGAGGUAGGCCGGCAUGGUAGCGGGAGUGAGGGUCUUAGCUCCACUGUCCACUUUGGUGAUCAAGGUUAUGGAGGUAAAUUCCAGGGAAAACCUAUGGAAGAGAAAAAUAGUAUUAUUUACAAGGUACUUCAAAGCAUGACAUCCCUCCUGAAAAAGAAGAAGAGCAGGUGCAGGCAACAACACACAGGUAACACUGACAUCAGGGAGGUUGGGGUCCAGCAUCUCACCUGGAUGGUAUCUUUGGUAACAACGCAGUGGCGGAAAGAUCCACAUCACAAGUAGGCUGUCAUGGUAGAAGGCCACUUUACACAGAACAGGAUUUAAAAAAAAAACGGGUAAACACACCCAACUGGUAACUGGCAAACACUCUUCAAUGGGACGCCUUCAACUUGACGUAACUUUGGGAAAAACAGGAUGCUGGCUGUCAACAGGACAGAACUCUGUAAUUUAAAAAAAUAUUUUUUGAAUAAAAAUAUAAAUUAACACUAAUUUACAAAAAAAAAAAGAAAAGGAUUUUAAUUACCUACUGGUAAAUCCUUUUCUCGUAGUCCGUAGAGGAUGCUGGGCGCCCGCCCAACGCUUUGUCUUUUCAGAGAAACUCAGGAGAGCUCCUCAGUGUGUGUCCAGUCUCUCUGGGCACAGAAUCUAACUGGAGUCUGGAGGAGGGGCAUAGAGGGAGGAGCCAGUUCACACCCAUUCAAAGUCUUAUAGUGUGCCCAUGUCUCCUGCGGAUCCCGUCUUUACCCCAUGGUCCUUACGGAGUCCCCAGCAUCCUCUAGGACGUAUGAGAAAAUUCAAGUAUUAAAAAUUUCUUGUCAGCUCACGACAGAAAAACUUGUCUGAGUGAAAUUGUCGACACUCAAAUGCCGAAAAGUCAAAUGUCGGAACGGAUCCGACAAUAAUUUUGUCGAAAAGUGACUUAUUGAAUUGUUGAAAGCGAUUCGACAGUGUUUUUUUGACGGAAAUGGGCCGUUUUCUGACAAAAUAAGGGAUUUGACACCAAUUGAAUAUACCCCUUUAUUGGAAAACACUUCAUCAAACUUGGAAUUUCCAUUUCCACCAUUGCGGCUAUAUGUUUUCACAAAUCUGGUUGUGAUGUUGAAGAUUGUAUCAUAUUCUGCUCUAGGCUUUAGUUUAAACCUAGGAUCAAGUACAGCAGCACCCCUGGAAUUACACGGCAGUGCCUCUGGACUUAUACAGCAGAUAGGCAGCACCUCCGGACUUAUACAGCAUAGGCAGCACCCCCGGAGAAUUACACAGCACAGCAGACAGGCAACAGCACCCCUGGACUUAAACGGCAGUGGGGCAGCACCCCUGGACUGAUAGGGCAGAGGGGCAGCACCCCAUAUAGGGCAGCACCCCUGGAAUGAUGUGGCAGACAAAGAAAAGAUGUGCUAGAUGGAAUUGUCAUUGGCCAUCCCACCCACCCUUAUGUUGUAUAAACAGGACAUGUACACUUUAACAAACCAAUCAUUUCAGCGACAGGGUCUGCCACACGACUGUGACUGAAAUGAUUGGUUUGUUUGGGACCCCACAAAAAAACAAGCAAUUAAUCUCUCCUUGCACAAACUGCCUCUACAGAGGCAAGAUGUUUUCCUCAUCCUCAUCCUCCAAUUCCUCACCCCUUUCAGUGUUUACAUCCUCAUCCUUACAGAGAAAUAAUUCCACACCGAAGAGGUGGAUUUUUCGGUAUUUUGCCCAGGCAUGACAAUGGUCUUUUUCAUCCCAUGGCCAACAACUGUCUCCACUGGUGCCUUAUUCAAACAAACCACAUCACCAUCAGAAUCCUCAACUUCCUGCUCAGCGCCAGAUCCACCAAUAUCCUCCUCUUCCUGGUGUACUUCUACAGUGACAUCCUCAAUCUCAAUAUCAGCAACUGGACUGGCGGUGCUCCUCCCAGCACUUGCAGAGGGCAUGCAAAUGGCGGUAGGAGCCUCCUUUCCCAUACAGUGUUGUGAAGGUCAGGCCUAGACAUCGCAAUAGAGGACACACUUGGACUCUCUUUGGGGAUUUGUGAUAUCUCUGAACGCACAGUUGUUUCCUGUGCUUUAACAAGCUUCUUUUUUUUUUUUUUUUUGAGAGGGAGGAGGGCUUUCAUCUUCACGAGAAGCUGAACCACCAGUCAUGAACAUAGGCCAAGGCCUUAGGUUUUCCUUGCCACUUCGUGUCGUGAAUGGCAUAUUGCCAAUUUUACAUUUCUCAUCAGAUAAUUUUUUUUUUUUUGUUAUUAAUUUUUGCUCCUUGGAUUUUACAUGCUGUCUAUGACAUUGGGCAUCGGCCUUAGCAGACAACGUUGAUGGAAUUGCAUUGUCAAUGUCAUGACUGGUGGCAGCAGCUUCAGCACUAGUGCUAGAAAGUGAUUCCUGAUCUUUCACUAUUUUUUCUCUAAAUUUUUGUUCUUCAUUUCACUGAACAGUGCCCCUUUAUUAUUACAGCACACAGAACAGAGCCCCUUUAUUUUUCCAGCAAAUAGAACAGCUCCCCUUUAUUUUUACAGCACCCCUGUAUUUUAUAGCAUACAGGACAGGGUCACAGCGUUCCUUUUUUUUUAUACAGCACCAGACAGGGCCACAGCGCUCCUUUAUUUUUACAGCACCCCUGUAUUUUUACAGCAUACAGGACAGGGCCAUGAUGUUCCUUUAUUUUUACAGCACCCCUGUAUUUUUACAGCAUACCUGUAUUUUUACAGCACACAGAACAGUGCCCCUUUAUUUUUACAGCACACAGGACAGUGCCCCUUUAUUUUUACAGCACACAGAACAGUGCCCCUGUAACGCAUAGGACUGCAGCACCCCUGUACAGAACCCCAAACAGCACAGGACACAACAGAACAGCACAGGUCAGCACACCCCUGUACAGGAAAGCAGCACCCCUAACAACACAGGACAGCACGACAAAACAGCACAGGACAGCAGCACCCCUAACAGCACAGUACACAACCCCAGAACAGCACAGGACACCAACCCAGAGCAGGACAGGACAGCAGCACUCACAGACAGACAGAAGUCCACUCUCCAAAUCCGGAGUGAAAAUGGCAGCAACACACGGCUCAUUAUAUAGAAUCCAAAACCCGUGAGAUCCGACAGCAGGAUGAUGACGUUUUGCCUCGAUCUGGGAUCCGAGUCUGGUGAGAAGUCCCGAGCCAGACACGGAUCCUGAAGUCCGGGGGGUUCGGGUCUCAAAGAUCCGAACCUGCUCAUCUCUAAUAAAGAUUUGGUAACUCCUUGUCCACGCCUAGAAACCUUCACAUCUAAAUAGCUCUCCUCUGUGUCACUGAAUGAAAAAGUAAACUAAACAGGAACAUUACCACGAUUCUGCUGUUCAAUCAGCUCUAUAAACAACUAUUGAGAGCCCUUCCAAUAUAUUAAGAGAUCUAUAAACCAAGUAUAGGGUAUUAUAUGAACGGGUAAAGAGGGAUAACUAAAGAAUACUACUUCCUCUAUAUCAAACAUGUAAAUAUCAUUAUUAUCCUUUAAUUAUAUGGCACCACAAGGGAACACAGCGCCCAAUUACAGAGUACAUAAACAAAUAAGCAAAACAAAAAAAAACCCGUGACUUAUAGUUCAAGACAAUAUAGGACAAGUACAGGGUAUAUAACCAUAGCUGCAUCAGCAGACAAUACGAAAAUAAGUAUCAGGGUGGCAGAAAACCAAGGGAUUUGGUACUGUCAAAGGGAGCAUGGAAUAGAAGAUAGAGAAGGAAAAUCACAUGAGGGAAGAGGACCCUGCUCGUGAGAGCUUAGAUUCUAAACUGGCGGGGCAGGCAGACAGGUGACACAGAUGGGGUAGACAGUGAGCAUGGGACAGAUAUAUUAGUGUAUGCUGGAGCCACAGGGGACCCCAUAGCACAUCCACUGAUUUGGAGAUAUAAAUUACCAGCAUAAAUAAAGAAUGUCUUUAUCAAAAUCAUUAAUAAUUCCAGUACCAGGUCCGAAUUAGGGCCAUUAUAUAAAGGAUAUGGUGAUAGGGAAAGUCUUGCAGCCAAUAAACUUUCACUGUGCAGUAUAACCGUAUAUAGGCUGCUGACGUCCUGAGUGCACAGCCACACCUCCCCUUCCAACGGCGGCAAAUCUCAAAGUUAUUUUUAUAAUGUUGUUGUAUCCAAUAAGAAACAAGGAUUAUUCUGCGCAUAAGGCUGAAAUAAAGAGUCCAGAAAUGUAGAUGUAGGUUGGAAAAGGGAAUUCCUUGCUGCAAUUUUUGGCGGCCCGAUGGCCCUAUGGAUUUUUGGAGCAGUAUAAUUUAGAGGAGCUACAGGAUACUCAGGCAGGAGAACAUCACGCAAUGUGCUGAAAUACAAUUAUUAGUGACUGCUGUAUCCAAAAGAAUUUGAAGAUCCUUUAAAAACCAUUGUAGGGUCACUUGGCCGUCUCCUAUAUGUCGCCAUGUCACUCAGUUUAUGCUCAAUCUCUCCACAAUAAUCUUUCAAAUCCUCUAGAACUAAUGUCCCUCCCUUAUCAGCGGGACGGAAUAUUAACUCUUUGUUAUUUAAUAACCUCCUCAGGGCAAUCCAUUCAUCAUUAGUUAAGUUAUUGCAUACACCAGGAGUUUGUGGUUGUGUUACUGUGACAUCUAGCAUACAGGUUUUCAUAGUGGCGUUUGAUGAUGGUGGAUCAAACUUAGAUUUCAGUUGUAACUUUUGAAAUUGUACAGAUAAUGGGUCUGUUAUGAGCCACGGCUGUGGCUCAUUUCCAUUUUUGCAUUUUGGUUAUGUAUUUUAUGUUAUACUUCUGUUCAUGUUCCCCGUGGGUGUCAUGGGGUGCUCGGAGCUCACCCUUAAGGAGGGGAUACUGUUAUGAACCACAGGUAGUGGUUCAUUCCUAUUUUAUGUUUAUAAAGUUGUCUUGCACGCCAGGAUUUCCUGUUGCUCUGUUUUAGAAUACUCUUGUCUGCUGCCGCUGGUGAGUCUGUGUAAUUGCAGCUUGUUCCCAUGUGUUCAGCCUCACCUGGCUGCUAAUUGCAUCUUGUCAGUUUGGAGUCAUGCAACAGGGCAGCUGCAUGAGAUUAUUAAUUAGGCCUCUCUGUUAUAUGCUGGCUCAGUGCUAUUCACAGACGCUGGUGAUAUUUCUGGGUAUCCAGUUUGCUUGAGUUCUGAGCUUGGUUCCUGCUAGUUCCUGAGCUUCCUGUGUCGAUUCCUGUGUCAGUCCCUGUGUCGAUUCCUAUGUCUGAUCCCGUGUCCUGCCGUGAGGCAUUCCUGUCCUGAGGUCCAGUGCCUUUGCCUGUGCCUGGUCAAGUUUCUGGCUUCUUGGUGUCCACCGGUCUUUCGUUUGGGAUUCUGCCUGUCCUCCAGUUCUUAGAGUCUGUGUCAGCAGCAUUGGGAGUUCCUGUCCGUUUGCCAGUAUUCGUACCGGUUCCGUGAGUAGCGGCUCUGCCGCGUCCGUCGGCCUAGGCCGCUGUAUUCCAUUAUUAUUUCUGUCACUGGUGUUUUGCAGAGGGUUCUGCUUAUGCUGUCACCGCCGGUACACAAAAGUAUUGUGUGGGCGUGUGGUCAGCAUUUCCUUUGUUGUUCUUUUCCUUUGGCGGCAAACCGCACAUACAUUUAGUUUUAGGCUAGUUAGUAGCCCCUGGCUUUUGGUUGUUUCAGUAAGAGGGCCCCUUGUUAUCACCCUGUCUCGGUACACUCUUUGUCUCUCAUUAAGACCUGAGGGGGCAUCGAAGUUGGGCAGACGUAAUCCGCCCUUCAAACGCGGCUGCCAUGGGCUCAAGCAACCAUAGUCUCGCAAGAGUGUACUGACAGCACGGGCGAGACAACGGAGAUAGGGCGCCAGGGGCUAUUCCCUUUCCAUUCCCCUUUCCCAGCAUUACGUUCCAGUGCUCCGGUCCUUGCAAUAAGAUCUCCUCAGACCAGAGUGCUGGAAUCAUAACAGGGUCAUCUUUAUCAGGAGUGAUAGGUUGUCUUGUAAAUAACUAUUUUAAUUCAGAAUUUACAUUGUAAAUGAUUAAUUUCCACUUGUCAGUUCAGAUGAAUUUGUCGCUACAAAUGAUAAACCUUUUGAAAGUACCUGUUUGUGCAAUUCUGAAUAUGAUGAAAGGCGAGGUAUUGGGGGCCUUUUUCCACUUUUUACUGUCUCUUAUCCACACAUAUUACUUGUUUCUACUUAAAAUUACAGAACUUUCUUCGGGCUGCACCAACUCUGUGGAAUGCCCUCCCAUGCACAAUAAGACUCACCUCUAAUCUCCAAACCUUUAAACGAUCCCUGAAAACUCACUUCUUCAGACAAGCCUAUCAAAUUCCAGACCCAUCGGCAAAACCUUCAAUGCUUACCUUUCUAAUUACUGUAUGUACAUCCUCUCAGUACAGUACACAUAACCUCACAUAUUUUGUCUUUCUUUACUAUCACACCCUCCUGACCCCAGGCCAACAUUGCUAGUUGACCAUAUCAUACACCCCAUUAAGAACCUUUGCAAUCUGGCAGGACCAUUACGCAAUAGGUAACAUCUAUCUAUGUGUAUCAAUGCCUAUUUCCCUAUAGAUUGUAAGCUUGCGAGCAGGGCCCUCCUACCUCUAUGUCUGUUUUUGCCCAGUUUUGUUCUAUUAUUGUUUUAAUUGUAAAGUGCAACGGGAUAUGCUGCGCUAUAUAAGAAACUGAUAAUAAAUAAUAAAUAGAAGAGUCCAUCGCAUGAUGCAUGUUUGGAGUCCUGCAUAAAAAUGAUUGCCGGCCUUCUCUUCCUACUCCUAGCUAUUAGUCGAGCGAUACACCGUGUGAUGCUUAUAAUCCGCCUCUACCUUCAUGAAUAUUUAUCUUGAAUUAUUCAAUUCCCUCUUAUACACCUGAAUUUGGUAAAUAAGUUUUGCAGGGAUGUAGUUGAGAUCCCGGUUUUUGGGGUCCCGGCAGUCAGAAUGCCGAUGAUGGAAUCCUGACAGCUGUAAUCCUGAACAUAAGUAUGCUGGGGAGGUUAGGGUUAGGCUGCGGGGGGCGGGUUCAGAGUUAGGCUGCGGGGAGGGAAGGUUAAAGUUAAGGGUAGGGUUGGGAUUAAGGGUACUUACCACCAGUGCCCCUGUCAGGAUUCCAAGUAGUCUGGAUUCCGUGGUUGGUAUUCUUACCGCCAGCAGCCUCACUGCCGGUAUCCUGUAUCCAACCCGUUUUGUAGACCAGUCGUGUCAGGAUUGUUUUCCACAUUGGAUUUCUGAAUAACUUCAAAAGCCAAUAUGUUCUCUCUGAUGGUCGUCAGCUCCUUAUAUGACUGUGCAGUGUCUUUUGGGCCGGCGCCUAGAGAUAACGUCAUCUCGAAGCGCCGGAAAACCUGGCAGAUCGGGACUCCGGUGCAUCACACUGGGGGCAAGCCCAGCAAUCUGGAAGCUGCUGUGCUGCACGCAGCCUCCGGCGCUGCCGGGCACAAAACACAUGGCUGCUGUCUGCAGUGACAGUGUGUGUUGUGACCCCCCAGCCUCCCGACCACCCACCGGACACUACGGUAUGCCAUGCUUUAAAUGGGUACCGAGUCGAAUGAUCCGGCUUACCCAUUAUGCAGCCUCCUACACGGGUCUUACCCCCAUCCAUCCCUGGUCCAUAGAGGGUUGGAUACCCAGGAAAAUGGACCCGGAGGUUUGGAGAGGGGACUCUUUAACUCUGCCUGCAAUUCGGGGGUUUUGCGUGCUCCUGUAUAAAAACCCGGGAUCUCAGGCAGUGUAAAAGGGGUAUUACAGACACAAUAUGGCAUUUAUAGUCAAUUUCUUUAUCUAAAGUCUCAGCAAAUAUCUGUAUACAUCAUCCAGUACUGCUGAUUCAAUUUGUUCACAAAGCUGAUCCUUAUCGAGAUUUGUUUCUGCAAAAGUGAGAGCAUAUCCCACAGGGAACCGUAAACGACAAUAGCCGUCAGCUGUGUCUUCAGCAGCUGAUACAGACAUACAGUCAUUUAUAUAUGUAUUAAAUAUAAGCCUCAUGUGUUUUUGAGCUGCUGUAUUUGCUCUGGUUACACAAAUAUGUUCCUCGAAUGUUACAAGGUAACAGCAGGUAACAGGUAAUCGCAGUUAACCUGAUUGUCACAGCUCUGGACUUCUUCAGUUAUUCGUGUGUUAUUAUUAUUACAUUUAAUUUAUAGGACGCCACAAGUGUUUUGCAGCACCAUACAUACAGCACACAUUAGAACAAAACAAUACCGGGUACACAAAACUUAACAUUACAGUAACAGAAAAACUAAAACAGAGCACAGGUGACAAUUAGCAACACAAUGCUCAGUACACACUACAGCCAAGAUGUAUGGAAGCAAAGAAGUAAUCUGCGUACUACCAGGGGUGGGCAGCCAUUGGAAAAGAUGAACAGUUACGAGCGAGAGAAGAUGUGGGUAUAGACAGUCACUGAGUAGGAGAGAGCUGUAAUUGAAGUGUGAGAGAAGAGAGUUGUGAGAACAGGAGGGCAGAGCGUCCUGCUCCAAGGAGCUUACAAUCUAGAGGGGGGGGGGGGGGAGACAGACAGGUGACAUGAGUUGCGAGUAAGUGAAAGGCGGUCUGAUGGUAGGAAGUAAGUGAGGAAUAGAUGGCGAAGGCAUGAGGUAGUGUGUUGGGAGAGUGGCCUCAAAACUAGGUUAUGCUGAAGGAUAGGCUUUGAUGAACUGGUGGGUUUUCAGUGCUCGUUUGAAGCUUUGCAAGGUCGUGGAGAGUUUAAUAGAGCCAGGGAGCUCAUUCAAGUGAAGGGGGGCAGCACGGGUAUCUUGAAUUCGCGCAUGGGAUGCAGUUACCAGGGUAGAGGCGACGGUCGUUGGCCGACCGGAGUGGGCGGGAGGGAGUAUGAAGGGAGAGGAGGUUGGAGAUGUAGGGAGCAGUGGAGUUAGAGAGGGCCUUGUACAUGAGGGUGAGGAGUUUGAAGAGGAUUCUGUAGGGGAAUGGGCGCCAGUAUAGGUUUUGUUGAAGAGGAGUGGCAGAUGUGGAGUGGCGGGACAGAAAGAUAAGUUGAGCUGCGGAGUUGAGAACAGAUUGGAGUGGAGCGAGAUGGGAGCAUGGGAGACCAGUGAGGAGAAAGUUGCAUUAGUCGAGCCGUGAGAUGACCAGUGAGUGGAUAAGUUUAGUCGCACUCUGGGAGAGGAACAGCCCGAUCCAAGCGUUGUUGCAUAGCUGGAACCGACAGGCUUGAUCCAGAGACUGAACGUGGGAGGUGAAGGAGAGGGAGGAGUCAAGAGUGACACCCAGGCAUCGGAGUUGGAAAACAGGGAGGAUGAUGGUGUUGUCAACAGUGACAGAGAUAUUAGGAAGGGUGAAGACCCUGGAUGGGGGAAAGAUGAUGAGUUCGGUUUUGUCCAUGUUGAGUUUCAGGGAGCGCUCAGACAUCCAGGAGGAGAUGGCAGAGAGGCAGCUGGAUACUCAGUAUAUGCUUUAUACUAGCCCUCAUAUUUAUUAUUUUAGAGCUGUUAUGAUAGCCACAUAUAAAAUCUCAAUUGCCUCAGUUUAUUGUAUUCUCCGCAUGGGCCAAUAGUAAACUACUUUAUUCCACACCAUAACCAGGGCCAGAUUAACAAUGUGGUAGAUGGAGCUGCAGUGCCAGGCCCUCCACUGAAAAUAGGCCCACAGGCUCCCCUGCAAUGCAGCCAGUGUUGACAGGAAAAAAAAAAAAAACAUUUCCCUGUCACCACAAACAGCAAUGCUCACUCACCUCCCGGCCACCCAAAAUAACAUCACAUAUUUACCCCUGCCGCCAGCCAGCCGCCAGCAUACACACCUACAUCAGGGCCAGUCCAAAGCCCCGUCCCCAAACUCAUCAGAACCCCUGCCUCCAGGACCUUUCGGAAGCUCCCCCCCCCCCCCCCCCCCCCAUCCUGUCUGAAAUUUAUGAUUGGUUAAGUAGCUGGAUCCACAGUAGGGAUUAUCGCUGGUGGCCACUGGGGAUGCCACUAGAGUAGAAGUAGGGAGAGUGGGGAAGGGGGAAGGGAUGACCACCUCCACCACCUGAAUUUAUCUUUACAUCAAUAUUAACAGGCUGACCGGGACAGCGAGCUAUUAGUCGGCUGCUGGGAGAUGCUCAAUGCCGCAUUUUGCAUGUUCCCAUGAAGGCAGUAUGCAGCGACUCCGUUACACCAGGGGUGCAGCUCUUCCUGUGCACAUGUUGUGCCCCCUGACCCCACUUCUGCUCCUCUCCUUUGCCUCUGCUGCUCCUCCCCCUCCCCUCUCAAGACCGUAUGCAUGCCUGAGCCAGCCACCCAUGCGGAGAAAAUGUAGUGUGGUGAGGCAGUGCAGUGCUGUGUAUAGGGAUGUAUUGUGGGGAGGUAGUGCAGUUACACAGUGUGAGGGAGAUAGUGUAGUGAUGUAGUGUGGGAAGGUAGUGCUGGGAUAUAGUGCUGAGAUGCAGUGCCGUAAAUAGAUAUUUUGGUUCCCUGUGUGAGAAAGGGAACUGGUGCCCCCUCCCCAAUCAUAUUCAAAAAAUGAUAGAGUGCCCCAAGUGCAUGCUCCAAAAAUAAAGGGACAUGAGUUCGUGGGGAAUGGGCUUAGCCACAGAAUAGUACCAAUUCACAUUACACCACACAGUAGUGUUGUUAUUCACAUUACACCACACAGUAGUGUUCAUUAUUCACUUUACACCUCACAGUAGUGUCCGUUAUUCACAUUACACCACACAGUAGUGUCCAAUAUUCACAUUACACUGCCCAGUAGUGUCCGUUAUUCACAUUACACUGCACAGCAGUGUCCAUUAUUCACAUAACACCGCACAGUAGUGUCCCCUAUUCACAUUACACUGCACAAUAAAGUCAGUUAUUCAAAUCACAUUGCACAGUAGUGUCCGUUAUUCACAUUAUACUGCACAGUAGUGUCCGUUAUUCACAUUACACUGCACAGUAGUGUCCCCUAUUCACAUUAUACAGCACAGUAGUGUCCAUUAUUCACAUUACACUGCAUAGCAGUGUCCGUUAUUCACAUUACACCGCACAGUAGUGUCUUGUAUUCACAUUACACUGCACAAUAAAGUCAGUUAUUCAAAUCACAUUGCACAGUAGUGUCCGUUAUUCACAUUAUACUGCACAGUAGUGUCCGUUAUUCACAUUACACCGCACAGUAGUGUUCGUUAUUCACAUUAUACUGCGCAGUAGUGUCCCCUAUUCACAUUACACUGCACAGUAGUGUCCGUUAUUCACAUUACACCGCACAGUAGUGUCCGUUAUUCACAUUACACCACACAGUAGCAUCCAUUAUUCAUAUUACAGAGCACAGUAGUGUCCGUUAUUCACAUUAUAAUGCACAGUAGUGUCCCCUAUUCACAUUACACUGCACAGUAAAGUCAGUUAUUCAAAUUACAUUGCACAGUAGUGUCCGUUAUUCACAUUACACUGCACAGUAGUGUCCGUUAUUCACAUUACACCACACAGAAGUGUCCAUUAUUCACAUUACACCGCACAGUAGGGUCCGUUACUCAUGUUACACAGCACAGUAGUGUCUGUUAUUCACAUUGCCAUGCUCAGGUUCAUCCGUUAUUCACAUCACACCACACAGUAAUGUCUGUUAUUCAUGUUACACCACACAGUAGUGUCGUUACUCACAUUACCAUAUACAGUAGUGUCCGUUAUUCACAUUACACCACACAGUAGUGUCUGUUAUCCACAUUACACAGCACAGCAGGGCCCGUUACUCACAUUACACUGCACAUUAGUGUCUGUUAUUCACAUUACACAGCACAGUAGUGUCUGUUAUCCACAUUACACUGCACAGUAGCUUCCAUUAUUCAUGUUACACUGCACAGAAGUGUUCAUUAUGCACAUAACACACCACAGCAGUUUCAUUACUCACAUUACACAGCACAUAUGGACCAAGUUGCAAGAUUCCAAAAAUGGAGAGAUUAAAUUCCCCCCACCUCUGGAGAGUAACCAGCACCAAGAUAAAAGAUGGUGGUAUACUGACCAAAAAGUUGGGUUACCUUCCUAACUAUUAGUAAUAUAUCUGGGUUCUCCACAUAGAUAUGUAAUUAAGGUUCAUAUGGUGCUACCAACUGGUUUAGUUAAGGAUAUAUUGUCAAAUCCCCAUGGAGGACGACAAGAGAAAGAAACCAGUUAUAACUGGGGUGCACACAACCCAACCAAUAAUAAAUAUAAUACCUUAUUACGGAUUUAUUGAAGCUCCCCCAUAUUGAUAUUAUCCAAUAGAGGCUAAAAUGCCCACACACCUCGUAGUAUAAAUUAAGAUUUUUUUUUUGUCCUUUAAUGUUUGACAAGCGAAGUAUUAAAAUCAGAAAAAUGUGAAAAAGAAUGAGAAAACAAAUAUUGUGAAUAAAGAUUAACAACAAUUA